CGUGGGCGUGGUCUGUCGGCGCUGUCGGGCGCGCAGCGAUGCGGCGUCGCGGCGGGGACGGCGACAGCGGCGACAGCGGCGACAUUGGGAGGGCGGAGGGCAGGUCCGGCGCGGCCCGGCAGGGACGGGCUCAGCACUCCUGGCUCCCAGGGCUGCGCACCCUCCUCCUGGCCCCGCUGCUCACCUACACCUCCUUGCCCUUCCUCAUCCGCCUCUUCCCCAGCGUGCUCACCAAAUUUGUCUACCUGAACUUCCUGGCCUUCCCCUUCUUCGUGGACUUUCGGCGGCCGGAGGUGCUGGUGACCAACACCAUCAACCUGCAGCUCAGCACAGAGCCGGGUGUCACAGUCGGUGUCUGGCACACGGUGCCGGGCAGCAGAGGGGCCGAGGCGCGGGGCAAGGACCAGCGCUGGUACGAGGAGGCUCUUGCUGAUGCUCACCCCGUGAUCAUCUACCUGCACGGCAAUGGGGGCACCAGGGCUGCGAGUCACCGUGUCCAGUUCUUGAAGACGAUGGGGGCUGCUGACUUUCACAUCCUGGCUCUCGACUACAGAGGCUAUGGGGACUCCACUGGACACCCCUCAGAGAGUGGCUUCACCACGGAUGUCCUGGCGCUCUAUGACUGGGCGAAAGCGCGGAGUGGGAACAGCAGCAUCCUCUUCUGGGGACAUUCCCUGGGGACAGGGAUUGCCACCAACGCAGCGAGGAAACUGCAGGAGGAGCGAGUCUGCCCUCAGGGGUCCAGGUUGAUGCCGUGGUGCUGGAGUCUCCCUACACCAACAUCCGAGACGCAGCUGCCAACAUCCCCAUCACCAAGAUCUACCGGCAGUUCCCGGGUUUCGAGUCCCUCAUCCUGGACUCCCUGGCUCGGGCAGGAAUGUUCUUCCGCAGUGAUGAGAAUGUGAAGGUGCUGGGCUGCCCCCUCCUCAUCCUGCACGCAGAAGAUGACGGAGUCCUGCCUCCAAAGCUGGGACGCAAGCUCUAUGAGACAGCACACAAAGCCUACAAGGACAAAUCCAAGGUGAAGUUCAUUACCUUUCCCGAAAAGCUGGGCUUGGGCCACGACUACAUCUCCUUCAACCCAGAGCUGCCUUCCCUGGUGAGAGACUUCUUAAACAUGAAGUGAUGCCAGUUGCUGCCUGCACUGAUCCCAUGCUCCCUCAAAUCCACUCCAGGACACCCCCUAUGGCACUGAACUUACUGCUGUAAGUAAUAAAAACUACUAAGAAACUUUUAA